rnacentral:lncRNA from 1 species
CCCCUUACAAGGCCAGAGAUGUUGUCAGCCUGGGGUUUUUGUGCAGAAACAUCCAUUUAAUGCGUAUCUUUUUUUCCCCAGCCCGCACUCCUAAUUGCAGUGAGGUUUGGUUUACUCUUUUUUUUUUUUCCUUUCUCUCUCACUCCUUCCCUCUUUUCUUCCAACUAAGAGGUGUGUGUGAUGGGGGAGGUCAGGGACGGAAAUAAACAGGCGGUUUGGUCUUCUCUUUCUUCCCUGGCAGCCUUAAUUGCUACUUAAGCGUGGGCCCUGCACUUAACAUCCGGGGGGCAGGCCCGGUGCGUGGUGCACGCCGGGCGCGCUGUGCACAGUCUCCGGAGGCCGCCAGUGCGACCCCGCCCCACCCGCGCACCCCCGCCCGGAGGGCCCCAGCGCGCAUGCGCUCGCCGCAGGGCGGCCUGCGGGGCUGUGGACGCGAGGCCAGCUCGUAGGGGGCUGGGCGGUCAGCGGGGUCAAGGGACAGCCACGCUGGGACGGAGGACGGGGACAGGGGAGCCCCUGCGGCGCCACUUCUUCCUCUCCGAGUCCUGUCUGCCCUUGAUGGAGCCACUGGUGGGGUUACUUGCUGGCGGUCGGCCACUUUCGCCCCUCCCUCGCCAGCCCGCCAGCUCCCUAAGGUUUUGUGGUUUUUUGUCACCACCACACCUCAGUGUUGAGCUAAGUGAGGACGUCCCCCCAGCAAAUGUAUUGGACGGAAGGAAACGCUGUGCGGGAGGAGGCGGAGGAAAGUAGGCCACCCGGGGCUCAAGUGAGAACAAGCACCAAGCCCUGUGGAUUUCAGAAGAACUCCACCUCCACAGAGUCCUCAAAGAUCUUCUCCUGAACUCCGCACUCCCCAGCCUUGAGAGGAGACACAGGAGCUGGAGGAAGCAGCUUUAUCCCUCACUUUGUGGUUCAGUCCAGCCUGUUUUCCAAGGGGUAAAGGGCAGUGGAAGGAUAACUAAGAAAAUAAUAAUAACAAAUGAAAGCAUCUCUGUGGAGCUUCGAGAUGGUUUUGUGGUUUUGACAUCCUUGGUUUAUUGAGUCUGCUAUGCUUGUCAUUACAAGGAACUACAUCGUCUCUUUAGUGUGACCAACACAUGCUGGGUCCCUGCUAUGUGCCAAUCCAACCCUGUAAGAUGGAGGUCAUGACUAUUUCCAUUUUACAGAUGGGGAACUGUGGCUCAGAACCCAGAUUCCUUGACCCCAAGGCUCAUGAUUUUCCCGCAUGCCUUCCUGGGGAUGGCUCCAGCCGAUGGAGCCUGGGAUGAAGAGACCGACCAGCUCCCUGGACCACACCCUGUCCUUCUCCUUGUGGUCCCUUAGCUCUCCUUUCUUGUUGCUUCUGCCCUCAUCCUUUUCCUGAGUGGUCUCUCCUCAAGUGUGUGUCUGGUGCCCCAGGAAGCUCCUCUUUCACCCACCCCUCCACCACCUGCCCUGUUUGAUUUGACUUCAUUCAUUC